GAUGAACGCUCGCGAUAGGCUUAACACAUGCAAGUCGAGGGGCAGCAUGGUCUUAGCUUGCUAAGACUGAUGGCGACCGGCGCACGGGUGCGUAACGCGUAUGCAACUUGCCUCACAGAGGGGGAUAACCCGUCGAAAGACGGACUAAUACCGCGUACACUUGGGAUAGGGCAUCCUGACCCAAGGAAAUGAAAUUCGCUGUGAGAUAGGCAUGCGUCCCAUUAGCUAGUUGGUGAGGUAACGGCUCACCAAGGCGACGAUGGGUAGGGGAACUGAGAGGUUGAACCCCCACACUGGUACUGAGACACGGACCAGACUCCUACGGGAGGCAGCAGUGAGGAAUAUUGGUCAAUGGGCGAGAGCCUGAACCAGCCAAGUCGCGUGAAGGAUGACUGUCUUAUGGAUUGUAAACUUCUUUUAUACGGGAAUAACAAGAGCCACGUGUGGCUCCCUGCAUGUACCGUAUGAAUAAGCAUCGGCUAACUCCGUG
rnacentral:rRNA from 1 species